GCAGCAGCCACGGUAAUACAGAGGGUGCGAGCGUUAAUCGGAUUUACUGGGCGUAAAGCGUGCGUAGGCGGCUUCUUAAGUCGGAUGUGAAAUCCCUGAGCUUAACUUAGGAAUUGCAUUCGAUACUGGGAAGCUAGAGUAUAGGAGAGGAUGGUAGAAUUCCAGGUGUAGCGGUGAAAUGCGUAGAGAUCUGGAGGAAUACCGAUGGCGAAGGCAGCCAUCUGGCCUAAUACUGACGCUGAGGUACGAAAGCAUGGGGAGCAAACAGGAUUAGAUACCCGCGUAGUCCCUGUCUCUUAUAC
rnacentral:rRNA from 1 species